GCCGGAAUGGCGGAACUGGUAGACGCGCCGGACUCAAAAUCCGGUUCCAGCAAUGGAGUGUGGGUUCGAUUCCCUCUUCCGGCACCA
rnacentral:tRNA from 2 species